AUUGAACGCUGGCGGCAUGCCUUACACAUGCAAGUCGAACGGAUUCUUGGGGCUUGCUCCAAGAGUUAGUGGCGAACGGGUGAGUAAUGCAUCGGAACGUGCCCAAUCGUGGGGGAUAACGUAGCGAAAGUUACGCUAAUACCGCAUACGUCCUGAGGGAGAAGGCAGGGGACUCGCAAGAGCCUUGCGCGAAUGGAGCGGCCGAUGUCGGAUUAGCUAGUUGGCGGGGUAAAAGGCCCACCAAGGCGACGAUCCGUAGCUGGUCUGAGAGGACGACCAGCCACACUGGGACUGAGACACGGCCCAGGACUCCUACGGGAGGCAGCAGUGGGGAAUUUUGGACAAUGGGUGAAAGCCUGAUCCAGCCAUGCCGCGUGAGU
rnacentral:rRNA from 1 species